rnacentral:rRNA from 1 species
UAUACGACCGUACCGCAAACCGACACUGGUGCGCGAGAUGAGUAUUCUAAGGCGCUUGAGAGAACUCAGGAGAAGGAACUCGGCAAAUUGACACCGUAACUUCGGAAGAAGGUGUGCCCUAUUAGUGUGUAGUGAACAACGAAGCAUGAAUGGGUUGCAAAAAAUCGGUGGCUGCGACUGUUUAUUAAAAACACAGCACUCUGCAAACACGAAAGUGGACGUAUAGGGUGUGACGCCUGCCCGGUGCUGGAAGAUUAAAUGAUGGGGUGCAAGCUCUUGAUUGAAGUCCCAGUAAACGGCGGCCGUAACUAUAACGGUCCUAAGGUAGCGAAAUUCCUUGUCGGGUAAGUUCCGACCUGCACGAAUGGCGUAACGAUGGCCACACUGUCUCCUCCUGAGACUCAGCGAAGUUGAAAUGUUUGUGAUGAUGCAAUCUCCCCGCGGAAAGACGGAAAGACCCCAUGAACCUUUACUGUAGCUUUGUAUUGGACUUUGAACAGAUCUGUGUAGGAUAGGUGGGAGGCUUUGAAGCAGGGUCGCUAGAUCUUGUGGAGCCAACGUUGAAAUACCACCCUGGUGUGUUUGAGGUUCUAACCUAGGUCCAUUAUCUGGAUCGGGGACAGUGCAUGGUAGGCAGUUUGACUGGGGCGGUCUCCUCCCAAAGCGUAACGGAGGAGUUCGAAGGUACGCUAGUUACGGUCGGACAUCGUGACGAUAGUGCAAUGGCAUAAGCGUGCUUAACUGCGAGACUGACAAGUCGAGCAGAUGCGAAAGCAGGACAUAGUGAUCCGGUGGUUCUGUAUGGAAGGGCCAUCGCUCAACGGAUAAAAGGUACUCUGGGGAUAACAGGCUGAUACCGCCCAAGAGUUCAUAUCGACGGCGGUGUUUGGCACCUCGAUGUCGGCUCAUCUCAUCCUGGGGCUGUAGCCGGUCCCAAGGGUAUGGCUGUUCGCCAUUUAAAGAGGUACGUGAGCUGGGUUUAAAACGUCGUGAGACAGUUUGGUCCCUAUCUUCCGUGGGCGCUGCAGAUUUGAGGAAGCCUGCUCCUAGUACGAGAGGACCGGAGUGGACACACCUCUGGUGUAUCGGUUGUCACGCCAGUGGCAUUGCCGAGUAGCUAAGUGUGGAAGAGAUAACCGCUGAAAGCAUCUAAGCGGGAAACUCGUUUCAAGAUGAGAUCUGCCGGGGCCUUGAGCCCCCUAAAGAGUCGUUCAAGACCAGGACGUUGAUAGGUCAGGUGUGGAAGC